AGUACGGCCGCAAGGUUAAAACUCAAAGGAAUUGACGGGGACCCGCACAAGCGGUGGAGCAUGUGGUUUAAUUCGAUGCAACGCGAAGAACCUUACCUGGUCUUGACAUCCUGCGAACUUUCUAGAAAUAGAUUGGUGCCUUCGGGAACGCAGUGACAGGUGCUGCAUGGCUGUCGUCAGCUCGUGUCGUGAGAUGUUGGGUUAAGUCCCGUAACGAGCGCAACCCCUAUCCUUAUUUGCCAGCACAUCAUGGUGGGAACUAUAAGGAGACUGCCGGUGAUAAACCGGAGGAAGGCGGGGACGACGUCAAGUCAUCAUGGCCCUUACGACCAGGGCUACACACGUGCUACAAUGGGAAGGACAAAGAGCCGCGAAGCCGCGAGGUGUAGCUAAUCUCAUAAACCUUUUCGUAGUCCGGAUUGGAGUCUGCAACUCGACUCCAUGAAGUCGGAAUCGCUAGUGAUCGUAGAUCAGAAUGCUACGGUGAAUACGUUCCCGGGUCUUGUACACACCGCCCGUCAUACCAUGGGAGUGGGUUGCACCAGAAGUGGCUAGUCUAACUUAGUGAGGACGGUCACCACGGUGUGAUUCAUGACUGGGGUAAAGUCGUAACAAGGUAACC
rnacentral:rRNA from 1 species